CUGGGGGCGUGGCUGGAAGUUGCUGUGGGGAGGCGGGCGCGGGGCCGGAGCCGCUCCGGGAUCCCCCGGGACCCUCCGGUAUCCCCGGCUCUGGAAUGCUCCAGCCCUGGGCCCUCCCACCCUGAACCGCGUUAAACCCCCGCGGACAGCGGGCAGGGCCCCGCUGGGAGCGGUCCUUGCGUAACCCGCCCGUCCUGGCCGGCGUUAUGUAAGCAGCCCCGUGGGGCGAGGAACCGGCGCCGCGCCCGCCGCCACCGCAGCCCGUGGGGAAGGAGGGAUUUGUUAUCCUGAAGCCCAAGGGUUCCCUUCCUCCUGUAGGCAGCAUGCUGCAUCGCACCAUUCACCUCUUCCGGAAGGAGCUGCGGCUCCACGACAACCCAGUGCUGCUGGCUGCCCUGGAGUCCUCAGAGGCCCUGUACCCCGUCUACAUCCUGGACAGAGCAUUCCUCACCUCCUCCAUGCACAUUGGGGCCCUGCGCUGGCACUUCCUGCUCCAGUCCCUUGAGGAUCUCCACAAAAACUUGUGCCAGCUGGGCUCCUGCUUGCUGGUUAUUCAAGGGGAGUAUGAGGCUGUUGUUAGGGAUCACAUCCAGAGGUGGAAUAUCACGCAGGUGACGCUGGAUGCAGAGAUGGAGCCGUUUUACCAGGAGAUGGAGGCCAACAUCCGGCGCCUGGGGGCAGAGCUGGGCUUCGAGGUGCUUUCCCUGGCGGGCCACAGCCUGUACAAUACCCAGCGGAUUUUGGACAUAAACGGUGGGAGUCCCCCAUUAACUUACAAGAGGUUCCUUCACAUUCUGUCUCUGCUUGGUGACCCUGAGAUGCCUGUCCGAAACCUCACAGCUGAAGACUUCCAGAGAUGUAGGGCCCCUGACCCAAGCCUGGCUGAGUGUUACAGAGUGCCUCUCCCUGUGGAUUUGAAGAUUUCCCCAGAGAGCCUUUCCCCUUGGAGAGGAGGGGAGACUGAAGGGCUGCAGCGCCUGGAGCAACACUUGAGUGACCAGGGCUGGGUGACAAGUUUUGCUAAACCAAGGACAAUCCCAAACUCGCUGCUUCCAAGCACCACAGGCCUGAGCCCAUAUUUCAGUAUGGGCUGUCUGUCGGUUCGGACAUUUUUUUAUAGGUUAUCAAACAUUUAUGCUCAGGCAAAGCACCACUCUCUGCCCCCAGUGUCACUCCAAGGGCAGCUGUUGUGGAGGGAAUUUUUCUAUACAGUAGCAUCAGCAACCCCCAACUUCACACAGAUGGCUGGAAACCCCAUCUGCCUCCAGAUCUGCUGGUGCAAGGACGCAGAGAGGCUCCACAAAUGGAAAACGGCACAGACAGGGUUCCCAUGGAUCGAUGCCAUCAUGACCCAGCUGCGCCAGGAGGGCUGGAUCCAUCACCUGGCUCGGCACGCUGUCGCCUGCUUCCUGACACGGGGGGACCUCUGGAUCAGCUGGGAGGAGGGAAUGAAGGUGUUUGAAGAGCUGCUUUUAGAUGCUGACUACAGCAUCAAUGCUGGGAACUGGAUGUGGCUGUCAGCCAGCGCCUUCUUCCACCAGUACACACGGAUCUUCUGCCCUGUCCGCUUUGGGAAGCGCACAGACCCCCAGGGUGACUACAUCAGAAAAUACUUGCCUAUACUAAAGAACUUUCCCUCCAAGUACAUCUACGAGCCCUGGACUGCAUCUGAAGAAGAGCAGAAGCAAGCAGGAUGUAUCAUAGGUCAGGAUUACCCCUUCCCCAUGGUGAACCACAAGGAAGCCAGUGACCACAACCUGCAGUUGAUGAAACAGGUCAGAGAGGAGCAGCACAGAACAGCCCAGCUGACGAGAGGUGAGAGGUGCUGCAGCACCCAGGUUCCCUGUGCUGUGACACUCAGGCUGUCCCCAGGAACCCGGGGCUCUGAGGCUUUGAGUGCUUUUCCAGGAUGCUUUUCUUCUUUGGAUACCAACAUCAUGUGCAGCUCUUCUGGUUACUGUUAAAACACUGUCCCAUGUGUAAGAACCAGUGUGAGCCUUUUCUUCCUUCCCUCUCCCCUUGGAGCACCCUCCUGCCUGCAGCCUGCCUUCCCAGAACCAGAUCUCCACCUGCCCUGACUCCCCAGCCCCAGGCUGGUUGGGUGUGUCCCCAGGGUGCAGAAAUCUCUGCAGCUCUGCCCUUGCCUCUUGUAAACCAGAAUAUUCUUGUUUGUCCUUGGUGCCGUGAUCUGCCCUAUGCCAUAGCAGAUAUUGAGAUUCUCACUGAGCACAAAACUCUGGAGAGAUGAUGCAGAUGACCCCAUGGAAAUAAAGGUAAAACGUGACCAUUCUGAAGAAAACAUUUCAAAAGGAAAAGUGGCCAGAACGACAGAAUAAACCAAAAUUCCCUCAGGGGUCACCUGCUGGGUACCAAAAAAAGUCAAGAGGGGAGAGCCAGGGGUCAGCUGAGCUGGCCAAAGCACUGUCCUCCAUACUUGGCCCUGCUAAUGGUGCCUCUUGUUUGUGACCUGACCUUAGGAGACCUGUUGGAUCUUGAGUGGUUUUACUGCAGUUUUGGAUGGAAUUGUUUAUUUCUGAGUUGCUUCUGGACCAUUUGUUGAAGCUGUUGGCUGAAUGCAAGAUGUGUUUCAUGCACCUGUAUAAAUAGAUUUUGUGGCAAAUACUCAAUGUCAUAAGACUUUGUGCACAUUAAUGUGGUUGCACAUUAAUAUUAGGACCCUUGAUUUGCUUGCCUUAUAGAGAUGGACACUUAGGGAUGUUCAGAUUAUUUAAGUUCCCAGUUUGUGAUUGUAGUCCCCAGUUUGGGUAGACAGAGUAGAGUGCAGCCCCUUGUACCUUGUGUAGUUUUAAAGUCAUAAGUAGGAAUUAUUAUGCAUUUUAAGGACAACAUUGAAAAUAUCUCACUAAAUUAGGCCUAAUACACAACUUUAUCACCAUAAUUGUCUUCCUUGGCUGACCAGAACUGCAGGGUAGAGAUCAAUUCUAUCAUGUACCACAUGGAAAAAAUUUCCCCUCCCACGGAAAUGUACUGCUGUGAAGUUAGACAAGGCUGGAUUAGUCAAUUGUGGUUGUUGGUGGGGAGUGCAGUGGGGUUUUCAUGGCUGCAGGUAGCAUUUUGGGUUUGGAAAGAAAUAAAACUUAUUUCUUACAUGAACAAUGCAAGGGCUCUGGAUCAAUCUAUUAUCAUAAUUGAUAUCCAUCAGUCCUCUCGGGAAACCUGGUGGCACAACAGCUCCAGCAGCAUUCCAAACUCCUUGGAAGCAUCCUGGGAUCUGGUGCAGGAGCAGCACGGGAACCAUGAGCACCAGGAGGAUCUUUCAGUGCUGCUGGAGACCUGCAGGACCUGUCAGGGCAGAUCCUGGCAGCAGGGCAGUGAGGUGUAAAUACAAAGCUGCAAGGAUCUUCCUGCUGCUCCAAGCCUGUGUCAAUUUCCUGGAGAUGCCGGUGUUCCCUGACACUUCAGCCCUCCAGAAAACUUCCUGACUUCCAGGGAUGGCCAGAAGGAAAGGCCUCCUGCCUCCCCCUUUAGGAAAGGUAGAAUUCCAAGGUAUCAGAUUGGUGGAUUCCAGGGAUCAGUGCUGGGCCCAAUCCUAUUGAAUCUCUUCACUGAUCAUCUGAACGAGUGACUGAGUCCACCAUCAGUGAAUUUGCAGAUGACACCCAGCUGGGAGAACGUGUCCAUCUGUUGGAAGGGAGGAGGGCUGUGCAGAGACCUGCAAUGGUUGGAUGGAUGGACAGAGUCCAGUAAGAUGAAGUUUAAUAAGAUGAAGUUGGCCACAACAGCCCCCUGCAGCACUCCAGGCUGGGGAUGGUGUGGCUGGAAAGGACCUGGGGGUGCUGGCCAGCAGCUGACUGAACAUGAGCCAGCAGAGAGCCCUGCUGGCCCAGAGGGCUGGUGGCAUCCUGGCCUGGAUCAGGAAUGGUGUGGCCAGCAGGAGCAGGGAGCUCAUUCUGCCCCUGUGCUCGGCACUGCUGAGGCCACACCUCGAGUGCUGUGUCCAGUCCUGGCCCCUCGGUUCAGGAAGGACAUUGAGAGCCUUGAGCACCUCCAGAGGAGGGCAGUGGGGCUGGAGAGGGGCCUGGAACACAAACCCUGUGAGGAGUGACUGAGGGAACUGGGGUUGUUCAGCCUGGAGAAAAGGAGACUCAGAGGUGACCUUAUCACUCUCUAGACAUCCCUGAAAGGUGGUCUCCCCUGACCCUCCUCAUCUCCAGGCUGAGCCCCCCAGCUCAGCCACUCCAGGGGCUCCAUCCCCAGUCCCAUUCCCUUCCCUGGGACAUGCUCCAGUCCCUCAAGGUGUUUUUGGGGCGAGGGGCUCAAAACUGACUCCAGGAUUGGAGGUGGGGCCUCAGCAGUGCAGGGUCACUGCAUGGUCCUGCUGGACACACCACGGCCACACAAACACCCCCAGGCCCUUUUCCCCACCUGGAAGGGCUGAGCUGGUUUGUGACUUCAUGGUCAAGAGUCCUGCUCCGUAAAAAUGAAUUCCUGGCAGAGUGUGUCUGUCUUUGCAUCUUUUCCUCUAAGGGGAUCUGACCUUGGAGGCAGCAGGAGCUGAUGUGGAGCUGUGCAGAUACUGACACACAACUAUUGCACCUGAUGCAUCUCUCUGAGUUCUGGGCUGUGGAGACAAGUGAUGGCAUCUUUGCUGGGCAUUCCUGGCAUGAUUCAAGUCCAUUCUGGCUGGAUUUGGGUCACCUUAGGUGCUUCUGCUAAAGGAGGGAAAUGUGUCUGAUGGUGUUGAUUUUGUUUGAUUUUUCUUUUUUUUGACCACUCCUGCCCCUCCAUUGGCUUCCUCACCCCUCUCCAACGUGCCCAGAGCUUCUCUCUAUGCCUGGGAUGAUAUUCAUUCUCAUUUUUGCUUCCUUAUCAGACUUAAAUGGUAAAGUUUUUAUUUGGGGGUUGUGAAUUAGGGCUCUAAGUGUCUUUUCUGAUUUCAUUUCUUUUGGUUUAUCAUUGAUAGAAAUGAGAGUGAUGUGACCUGUUGUGGGUCACUUGUGGAGCCUUUCAUGGAAUCCCAGGCUGGUUUGGGCUGGAAGGAAGCUCACCCUGUUCCACCCCUGCCAUGGUCGAGAACUAGACCAGGUCCCACUAGACCAGGUGGCUCCAAAGCCCGUCCAGCUCGGCAUUUCCAGAGCUGCUUUCGUGUUUUGCCAGCAGUGGAGCUGAUGAACCAUCUGCCCUCCUGUCUGCUGAGGAAAUCUUCACUUCUCCUAAGAGGGCAGAGCUCCCUGGGGGCUGCAGCUCCGAUCUCUGCUCUCUGUGACAGGGACAGCACCCAGGGAAGGGCUCAGGCCAGGGCAGGCUCAGGCUGGAGAUCAGGGAAAGGUUCUCAGAGCAGGACAUCAAACAGCCCUCCCUGGCUGGGGGUGACGCCUCCAAGAGCCACCAGGCAGAUGUUGAUGCUGGGCUGGAGCUGACCCUGGAACUGGAACCAUCUCUCCAGGCCUGUGAGGGAUGAUCCUCUUUGGAAUGAACCUGGUCAGUGCAAACCCAGUGCUCUGAGUCCCAGCUGGGCAGGGCUGGGGCCGCUGGGGCUGUCCUGGAAC